GCUACAAGCCCCUGGCCCGGAGGCACCUUCCCUAAAGUCCGGACACGGAAGCGCUCUCCUGUUUCUUCAUUUUUCAGAUCCCUGGCACGGCGGAAGCCGAGCAUGACUCUGGAGGAGGGACUGUGGCAGGCCAUGCGGGAAUGGCAGCACACAAGCAACUUUGACCAGAUGAUCUAACACGAGAUGGCGAGAAAUGUACCUUCCCAGCAAGGCCAGCCCCAAGGCCCCGCCUGCCUGCCUGCCUGCCUGCCUGACACCACCCAGGCCCCAGCCACCAGCAGAGACCAAGACCGACCUGCUAUCACCCAGGCCCCAGCAGCCAGUGGAGACCAACACCCCCUAGGAGAUACCCCCUGAAGUGG
rnacentral:lncRNA from 1 species